rnacentral:tRNA from 1 species
CCGUCGAUAGCUCAGUUGGUAGAGCGGUGGACUGUAGAUCCAUAGGUCGCUGGUUCGAAUGCGGCUCAACGGA